rnacentral:rRNA from 1 species
CAGUAGCCGCGGGAAUACGUAGGUGGCAAGCGUUGUCCGGAAUUAUUGGGCGUAAAGGGCUCGCAGGCGGUUUCUUAAGUCUGAUGUGAAAGCCCCCGGCUCAACCGGGGAGGGUCAUUGGAAACUGGGAAACUUGAGUGCAGAAGAGGAGAGCGGAAUUCCACGUGUAGCGGUGAAAUGCGUAGAGAUGUGGAGGAGCACCAGUGGCGAAGGCGACUCUCUGGUCUGUAACUGACGCUGAGGAGCGAAAGCGUGGGGAGCGAACAGGAUUAGAUACCCCCGUAGUCCCUGUCUCUUAUAC